GACGUAGGGGGCGAGCGUUGUCCGGAUUUAUUGGGCGUAAAGAGCUCGUAGGUGGCUUGUCACGUCGGUUGUGAAAACCUGCAGCUUAACUGUGGGCGUGCAGCCGAUACGGGCGGGCUAGAGGCAGGUAGGGGAGAGUGGAACUCCGGGUGUAGUGGUGAAAUGCGUAGAUAUCCGGAGGAACACCAGUGGCGAAGGCGGCCUUCUGGGAUGAUCCUGACGCUCAGACACGAAAGCUAGGGGAGCGAACGGG
rnacentral:rRNA from 1 species